CAGCCGCCGCGGUAAUACGAAGGGUGCAAGCGUUAAUCGGAAUUACUGGGCGUAAAGCGUGCGUAGGCGGUGAGUUAAGUCUGCUGUGAAAUCCCCGGGCUCAACCUGGGAAUGGCAGUGGAUACUGGCUCGCUAGAGUGUGUCAGAGGAUGGUGGAAUUCCCGGUGUAGCAGUGAAAUGCGUAGAGAUCGGAAGGAACAUCUGUGGCGAAGGCGACUAUCUGGGCCAACACUGACACUGAGGCACGAAAGCGUGGGGAGCAAACAGGAUUAGAUACCCCAGUAGUCCCUGUCUCUUAUAC
rnacentral:rRNA from 1 species